UCCCUGGUGGCUCAGUGGUAAAGAAUCUGCCUGCCAAUGCAGGAGACCCAGGUUCAAUCCCUGGAUAGGGCA
rnacentral:tRNA from 1 species